rnacentral:misc_RNA from 1 species
AACGCACGAGACCUGCGGACCUGCGGAAGGAUCAUUAAUGAGAAGCUGCCCCUCGUGGGUAGACCUCCCACCCUCUGUGUACUUACCUUUGUUGCUUUGGCAGGCCCGUCCUCUGGACCGCCGGCUUCGGCUGGCCCGUGCCUGCCAGAGGAUUCCAAACCCUGUCUGUCAGUGUUGUCUGAGUCUAUAUGAAAUCGUUAAAACUUUCAACAAUGGAUCUCUAGAUCGGAAGAGCACACG